GUUGGUCAAUCUUAAGGCGGAUCCGGACGUGCUGUGGACUAUCUACGGAGGGACGACACUUGGAGUCCUAAAGACUUGUUCUUGUUCGGUUCGGGCGCAGCUAGGGAAGGCACGCAACAAAGACUCAAAGCAAGGGAAACAGAGCUGAUGAAAACAGGGGAAUGCAAGAAGAAAACAGGGGAAUGCAAGAAGGAAGCAGGGGAAUGCAUGAAGAGUUGAAGCUAUUGAAGAAGAAACUGAAACAACAGAAACAACAAUUCAAGUUUGCAAUAAAAAUUGGUGUAAUAAUGUUUGCAUUUCUAAUUUGGAUAGCAAUGAAGUAGAGUUGUAACAAAUUUCAAGCAAGAACAUCACUUGUUUAAGCA